rnacentral:rRNA from 1 species
AUGAACGCUGGCGGCGUGCCUAAUACAUGCAAGUCGAGCGAACAGAUGAGGAGCUUGCUCCUCUGACGUUAGCGGCGGACGGGUGAGUAACACGUGGAUAACCUACCUAUAAGACUGGGAUAACUUCGGGAAACCGGAGCUAAUACCGGAUAAUAUAUUGAACCGCAUGGUUCAAUAGUGAAAGACGGUUUUGCUGUCACUUAUAGAUGGAUCCGCGCCGCAUUAGCUAGUUGGUAAGGUAACGGCUUACCAAGGCAACGAUGCGUAGCCGACCUGAGAGGGUGAUCGGCCACACUGGAACUGAGACACGGUCCAGACUCCUACGGGAGGCAGCAGUAGGGAAUCUUCCGCAAUGGGCGAAAGCCUGACGGAGCAACGCCGCGUGAGUGAUGAAGGUCUUCGGAUCGUAAAACUCUGUUAUUAGGGAAGAACAAAUGUGUAAGUAACUGUGCACGUCUUGACGGUACCUAAUCAGAAAGCCACGGCUAACUACGUG